CGGGGCGUGGCGAAGCCUGGUAUCGCGUACGGUUUGGGGCCGUAAGGUCGCCGGUUCGAAUCCGGCCGCCCCGA
rnacentral:tRNA from 1 species